AUGUGGAGGAGAGAAGGACUGGACCGUGGUCAUCUGUUAUGCGGAGGAGAGAAGGACUGGACCGUGGUCAUCUGUUAUGUGGAGGAGAGAAGGACCGGACCGUGGUCAUCUGUUUUGCGGAGGAGAGAAGGACUGGACCGUGCCCAUCUGUUAUGUGGAGGAGAGAAGGACCGGACCGUGGUCAUCUGUUAUGCGGAGGAGAGAAGGACCGGACCGUGGUCAUCUGUUAUGCGGAGGAGAGAAGGACCGGACCGUGCCCAUCUUUUAUGUGGAGGAGAGAAGGACUGGACCGUGGUCAUCUGUUAUGCGGAGGAGAGAAGGACCGGACCGUGGUCAUCUGUUUUGCGGAGGAGAGAAGGACCGGACCGUGCCCAUCUGUUAUGUGGAGGAGAGAAGGACUGGACCGUGGUCAUCUGUUAUGCGGAGGAGAGAAGGACCGGACUGUGGUCAUCUGUUAUGCGGAGGAGAGAAGGACCGGACCGUGGUCAUCUGUUAUGCGGAGGAGAGAAGGACUGGACCGUGCCCAUCUGUUAUGUGGAGGAGAGAAGGACUGGACCGUGGUCAUCUGUUAUGCGGAGGAGAGAAGGACCGGACUGUGGUCAUCUGUUAUGCGGAGGAGAGAAGGACCGGACCGUGGUCAUCUGUUAUGCGGAGGAGAGAAGGACUGGACCGUGGUCAUCUGUUAUGCGGAGGAGAGAAGGACUGGACCGUGGUCAUCUGUUAUGCGGAGGAGAGAAGGACUGGACCGUGCCCAUCUGUUAUGCGGAGGAGAGAAGGACUGGACCGUGCCCAUCUGUUAUGCGGAGGAGAGAAGGACUGGACCGUGCCCAUCUGUUUUGCGGAGGCGAGAAGGACCGGACCGUGGUCAUCUGUUUUGCGGAGGAGAGAAGGACUGGACCAGAUCGUGGUCAUCUGUUAUGUGGAGGAGAGAAGGACUGGACCGGACCGUGCCCAUCUGUUAUGUGGUGGAGAGAAGGACCGGACCGUGGUCAUCUGUUAUGUGGAGGAGAGAAGGACUGGACCGGAUCUUGGUCAUCUGUUAUGUGGAGGAGAGAAGGACUGGACCGGAUCGUGGUCAUCUGUUAUGUGGAGGAGAGAAGGACUGGACCAGACCGUGGUCAUCUGUUUUGCGGAGGAGAGAAGGACCGGACUGUGGUCAUCUGUUUUGCGGAGGAGAGAAGGACCGGACCGGAUCGUGGUCAUCUAUUAUGCGGAAGUAAAUUGGCUUUGGGCCAGUUUUUCUCAAGUACUCUUAAACUGUUGCUAGUGCUAGUACUAAAUAGUAGUACUAAAAACUCUAAUUCUUCAAGUUGCUUUUGUUUACAUUGUGAACAUAGUCAAUGUAGCUAG
rnacentral:lncRNA from 8 species